ensembl:lncRNA
UAAGAGAGGACGCUUUAAAGGACAUGUAGUAUUAAGAGAGGACACUCUAAAGGACACAGGAGACGCUUUAAAGGACAUGUAGUAUUAAGAGAGGACACUCUAAAGGACAUGUAGUAUUAAGAGUGGACACUCUAAAGCACUUUAAAGGACACAGGGGCAUGUAGUAUUAAGAGAGCAGGCACAUAGUUGCGUGUAGGAGCAGAAAUCCUAGACAUUUCUGUCACACACACACACACACACACACACAUAGGAACUACGAUGAUAACCCCAAACACCUUUCAUCACUUAUGAUAAGAACUCAACACACACACUCACACAGCCAAGUCUCUCAGCGCUGCCCAGUCAUAUCAGACCAAAGAGUUUAGUGAUGAAACACUUGACCCCUGUAACAUCUCUACAGGCAGACAGACAGACAGACAGGUCCACACAUCAUCUCUACAGACAGACAGACAGACAGACAGACAGACAGGUCCACACAUCUACAGACAGACAGACAGACAGACAGACAGACAGACAGACAGGUCCACACAUCAUCUCUACAGACAGACAGACAGACAGACAGACAGACAGACAGGUCCACACAUCAUCUCUACAGGCAGACAGACAGACAGACAGACAGACAGACAGGUCCACACAUCAUCUCUACAGGCAGACAGACAGACAGACAGACAGACAGACAGACAGGUCCACACAUCAUCUCCACAGACA